rfam:Gossypium hirsutum cultivar TM-1 unplaced genomic scaffold scaffold1148.1, whole genome shotgun sequence
UAUUACAAAUUUCUUCUAUUUCUACUGUUAAAAACUAGCGUGAUUAACGGAAUAAUCAAACAGUUACACUUGGCAUGCCACAUGUAACUUGUAUUGACGUACAUGGACCAAUUUUUAACUGGAUGAAAUUUUUAACA